rnacentral:rRNA from 1 species
AUGGCCUCGCACUCCCAUUCGGCUGGAACAACGGCGUUCCGACAAAACCGAUCUAUUGCCAUGACACUCUCCCGGCCACUCCGACCAACACCCCUUUUGGGUUUAGUCCUGGGUGGCCCAUGCCUACCAAAGGUCUUACGGCCACCGUCGUGGCAAAAACGGUCCCAAACAGGGACAAAGCGCGCAAAACAACUCGGGCUCACAAGGUUCAUGUCCGCCUACGUGAUCAGGGUAGCGCGUGCCCAUAACCUUCCAUACGUUGGAGGCACCAGUGAGAGGCAUGACAAUAGACCUAUUAGGGCCUUCCCAUUCCAAGGCAAAUGUGGCUGCACUGGAAAAAGCCCAAUUUGGUGGCACUAUGACAUCCCAGUGAUGACGGAGGAGGUUUGUUAUCCAGUCAUAUUAUUAACUUCUUCAUCAUCGAUCAUUAUGCGAGCACUAUUAACAAGAAUGCAACAACUAACAUGCAACAUACCGAUGCAGUAA